rnacentral:rRNA from 1 species
GACGAACGCUGGCGGCGUGCUUAACACAUGCAAGUCGAACGGUGAAGCGCCUUCCUUUUUGGUGGGUGUGGAUGAGUGGCGAACGGGUGAGUAACACGUGAGUAACCUGCCCCCUUCUUCUGGAUAACCGCAUGAAAGUGUGGCUAAUACGGGAUAUUCUGGGUCUGUCGCAUGAUGGGUCUGGGAAAGAUAUUGUUUCGGUGGGGGAUGGGCUCGCGGCCUAUCAGCUUGUUGGUGGGGUGAUGGCCUACCAAGGCGGUGACGGGUAGCCGGCCUGAGAGGGUGGACGGUCACACUGGGACUGAGACACGGCCCAGACUCCUACGGGAGGCAGCAGUGGGGAAUAGUGCACAAUGGGCGCAAGCCUGAUGCAGCGACGCCGCGUGAGGGAUGGAGGCCUGCGGGUUGUGAACCUCUUCCGCCAGUGAAGCAGGCCUGCCUCGUUUGUGGGUGGGUUGACGGUAGCUGGAGAAGAAGCGCCGGCUAACUACGUG